GCGGAAAGAAAACAAUAUUUUUUCGGCAUAAAUCGGAAGUGCGUUGGACAAAGAUCAAGGAAACGGAUACGAGAAUCCAUUGAUUGCGAUCAAGACUUCAGCAGCUUGGACUUGUAGCGACGGAUCUGGAAUUUACGUAACACAAUGCUAUUGUGUUCUGCAACUGAUGGGAUCCGCUGCGCCAUUCACGGAAUCUGGACCAGCAAUUCGGGAGCGGAAUCAUCUCUGACAAUCUGUUGGCUGCUUCUAUGGCGCAAUCGACGUAGCAAAAUCUUUACGGGCACCCGAUGUUAUAAUCGUCCAUGGCGCAAUGCAUGUAUCGCUGCUCCACAGGACAUUGGAUCGAUGAUAAGUCCUAAAAGGACAAGUUCCAGAUAAACCUGGACCAAAAAGACGUUUCGGUAAAGUGAAACUGCCGAGCAACAACAUUAUCAUUGAAUGAAAGCAUGAAAAAAAGCAGGGCGGCUACGGAUACUUCUCGCAUAACGAAUAAUCUAGCAGCAGCGCUUCAGGCGCUUCAAAACCCCACCGGGGUACGACUCCUAUUAAGAAAGCCGACGAUUUCGUCAGAUGGAACCAGAAUCGACACGGCUCGUCCAGAUGGGUGAGGUGAUGAAGAAGGAUAUUUCUGUUAAUUUCUAGAUAAAAUAUUUUGUCAUAAUGUAAAAAAUAAAUAAUCUGUAAACGUAUGGCAGUUCCUUGCAAAA